UUGUUUUUCGUUCAUUUUUUUUUUAUAUAAAUAAGGCCGUUAGUUUUCUCGUUUGAAUUGUUUUACAUUGUCGUAUCGGGGCCUUUUAUAGCUGACUAUGCGGUAUGGGCUUUGCUCAUAGUUGAAGGCCGUACGGUGACCUAUAGUUGUUAAUGUCUGUGUCAUUUUGGUCUCUUGUGGACAGUUGUCUCAUUGGCAAUCAUACCA
rnacentral:lncRNA from 1 species